rnacentral:misc_RNA from 1 species
ACAAGGAAAAGAAAAGGAACUGAAAGGAAAUGAAGGGAAAGUUUUCUCUUCUCCUUAGAAUGGGAAACUGCGUUUAAAGCUCUCUCUAUCGAUAGCAUGCCACAGCUCACGCACGCAUUACGUGCAUGAGCCUGACACUCUUAUCAAUCUAAACACUCCAAUCCCUUUCCAUACUUAUCAUAAAUCCACUUCGAUACUUCCAAAUUAAGUCAAAAAAUCUCAUUGUUCUAAGCCUUCGUUUACCUUUUGCUUUUGGGUAUCAUCUCCGAUCUAUCUAAUCAUUCUCUCUAUUAAUCUCUUUCGAUCGGUGUUGGUGGUGGUUGUAGUGUGGUGAUUUUUGGGGGAUGGCGAUUCCUGCGGCAGUUGUCAUCGUGCCAGUGGGACUUCUCUUCUUCUCUUCUGGCCUUAUUAUUAAUCUCAUUCAGGCUAUCUGCUAUGUCCUUAUUCGGCCAUUGUCGAAAAACACAUACAGAACGAUCAAUAGAGCUUUGGCAGAGUUGUUGUGGCUGGAGCUUGUGUGGGUUUUUGAUUGGUGGGCGGGAGUGAAGGUCCAAUUAUUUACAGAUCAGGAGACCUUCUGUUUAUUGGGCAAAGAACAUGCACUUCUCAUAUCCAACCACAAAAGUGACAUUGAUUGGCUUGUUGGAUGGGUUUUGGCUCAGCGGGCAGGAUGCCUUGGCAGUGCGUUAGCUGUUAUGAAGAAAUCAUCAAAAGUCCUUCCGGUCAUAGGCUGGUCCAUGUGGUUUUCUGAAUACCUCUUUCUGGAAAGAAGUUGGGCCAAAGAUGAAAGCACUUUAAAGUCAGGUCUCCAACGGCUAAAAGACUUCCCUCGACCCUUUUGGUUGGCUCUUUUUGUUGAGGGAACACGUUUUACACAGUCAAAGCUUUUAGCAGCUCAGGAAUAUGCAGCCUCAGCAGGGCUGCCUAUUCCUAGGAAUACUUUGAUUCCUCGUACUAAGGGUUUUGUUUCAGCAGUGAGUAAUAUGCGCUCAUUUGUUCCUGCUAUUUAUGAUGUAACAGUAGCCAUCCCCAAAAGUUCCCCUCAACCUACAAUGCUCAGGAUCUUUAAGGGUCAAUCCUCAGUGGUAAGUGAAUAGAAGCAUAGUCUUUAUUCAACUACAUAAAGCAUUUACUCGUAUGAUUAAAUAUCUGUGUUGUCUUCUGUUCGGUUCCCUGCUACAUAAUGCAAUUAUUAGAGGACAUUAAACUUGUAUCAUCUUUGGGCAUUGGAAUAACAUGGCACUCAAAUCCAAGUAAAGUGAGGAUCCAGAGUUUGCCACUAACAUUUUAUGUAAUUGUGUGGAACAACAUUCCUGUAUUUCCUAUUAAUUUGGCCUUUUGGCUAUUGGGCAUCUUGUUAUUAAUUUUGACCUCGUCAUGAAAUGGUUUUAAAUGGAUAGGUGCCUGAUUUUGUUGUAUGUGUUUUUUCAACUGUUUACAUAAUCUGCCACUGCAAGUGAAUCUUGUAGGUGAGUGCAUGGUUUUAAAUAUCAGUUAAUUUGGGAGUAUGGUUGGAGAACAUAAAAUUAUUUGACAAAUAUUCUAAAAUGCUGAAAUUUGAGGUUUUGAAUGGUUCAGAUAUCUGCCAAGAAAGAACUCUAUGGAAAUAUCUUUGUUUCUUUUAUUGGUAAAAACUCUGUUACUCUCUUGCAGGUGCAUGUACACUUAAAACGGCAUUUGAUGAAGGAUCUACCUGAAACAGAUGAUGCUGUUGCACAAUGGUGUAGGGAUAUAUUUGUUGCGAAGGUAUGUGUGUACUGUUCAACUAGUGUCGCAGGAUCUAACUUUAUUAGUUUUUUUAAUUUGUAUCUGGAACUUUACAUAUGAAAUUGCAAGGAAAGUGAGAGUGAACUUUAUGAUUAUUUGAGGCCAAUGUGUAUGAAUGCCUACUUGCUCAACUUAUUUAUCUCGUAUCUGCAGUAAUUAGCGUAUCAGUUCAUUGUGAUUUUUUUAGUAUUUGCCUUUGGUGUGCUAGGAUGCAUUAUUGGACAAGCAUAUAGCGAAGGACACGUUCAGUGACCAAGAAUUGCAAGAUAUUGGCCGACCUAUUAAACCUCUUGUGGUUGUUACGUCCUGGGCAUGCUUGCUUGUUUUUGGGGUCUUGAAGUUCCUCCAAUGGUCUUCACUUUUAUCAUCAUGGAAGGGUAUUGCAAUAUCAUCAUCUGCACUGGCCAUUAUUACUAUCCUUAUGCAGAUAUUGAUACGCUUUACUCAGUCAGAGCGUUCGACCCCUGCCAAGGUUGUCCCAGCAAAGCCCAAGAAAGGAGACCCAUCAGAAACAGGACAAGACAAACAACACUAAGUCCCAUCCUGUUAGUUAAAUCUCACAUAUAUCAAUAACUUCAUCAAAAGUCAUUUUUGUGAAGGUACAUGUAGUGUCUCACUUUACAAUUCGUAUGUUUUCAUUAUAGACUAGUUGGAGCAGUAAUGUCUUUGGCUUUUGUUUGUUGCACAGUUUGUAUGCAUACCAAUUCAUUCUUGGCCAGUCGAUUAGGUUAAUUCUGUACAUUGUAUCAGCAAUGGCUCUAGCAUUAUGAUCAGCCCUUUGCCGCCCGCCCCCGCCGCUCACCGGUCUCUUUCUUUUUUUAUUGGCACUAUAUUUUACUGAUUUUAGAAGACCAGAAAUUGAAAUACUUGCAUACUGGCACUUUUUCUUGCAAAAUGAACUUUGCAAUAGGGUAGCUCUCUCCUACUUGCAUGUUGGUUCUUUUGAGCCCUAUGCUAUCCUAUUCUUCUUAUUUUAAUUUACUUGCCAGAUAGAGAAUCUACUUUUUGUGUUGUAUAGUUACAUGAACAAAAUUAGAGAAAAAGGAGGUUUUUUUAUCAAAACAGGAAGAAGGAUAUUGUUAUGACUAAGGAGAAUAAGGGUGUUGAAAAUAAAUAGAGAGCCUUUGGGGUUGAAAUUGUGAUAAACGAAUAUUUUGGAAAGUUAGUAGAGUUAGCUAGGAAUUAAUUAGAGAAUGGCGGGAACAUUACUGGAGAUCUAAAAAUGUAUAAAUAACAACUAUUGUAACUAAAGAAACUAUUCCAGAAUAUUAUCAUUGAAAUCCUCAUUCUUUUCUUCC